rnacentral:lncRNA from 1 species
UAGUGUCCCUUACUCCUUUUACUAAAAUGAGACUGGUGAGGAUGGAAAUCUAUCCUUUUGCCCUGAGAUUGAUAUGUCUAUUGACUUGGCAAAGUAUUAAGUAAGGUAGGGGGCACCACUACCGUUUGGAAGGUCGAGGUCUCCUCAUUUGGUUGGAUCUGGCUUAGAGCUCCACCAGAGAGGAUGGAGGGGAAGAGAAGACAUCGCUCUUCGUCGGUGUGCAUCUGAUAUGCCAUGGUGGACUCAAAAAGGUUAAGGUGUUCAAUUGGGCCCUCCCUUCCAGUAUAGAGUUGUAAACCAAGCUUUUGUUUUGUCUUCGCUUGAAGGGGGUGUCAAGGAUCCUCUUUGUGAGAGGGCCAGGCCUGGGUUGGUUCCAGUCAGGUAUCUCGGCUUGACGUUCGGCCUUCAACUUGUUUACUUCCUCAAGG